UACAUAAUUGGAUUGAGAGUUUUUAUUGUAUUUAGAAUUAUUUUGUUGUAGAAAAAUGAAAUCAACAUUUAAAAAAAAUUGGAAUUUGUAGGUAUGAUGUUCCUGGUGUGUGGGGAAUAAAUUUUGUUCUGCAGGAUGUUUUAGGAGGAAGGGGAUAGCCUCUCUAAGGAGUGACCCUCAGGGGAAAGCCAUGGGACAGAUGCUUUUGGACUUUGAAAUACAAAAUGUGCCAAACUUGGUGGAAAAAAUUGAAGAGAAAUACAGAAGAUAGUGUAUGAUUGUGAAAUGAUGGGGAACAAACAUUAUAUUUUUAAAAAAAAUACAAAACAAUGUGGUGUGAUUGUGAAAUGAUGGUUACAUUUAAGAAAAAUACAAAAGAUUGUGUGUGGUGUGAUUGUGAUUUGUAUUCAAAUGAUGGG